CCUGGUUUCGACUUGCACAUAUCCUGCUCGGUGUACAUGGACAAAGGUAUCGUGGCGUUGAAUAACGCACCAAAGAAACUUCUUCAAACAUGCAGUGUAUUUUCAAUGCAAGAAAGGCAUUGUGUGUAGAUGCCAUCCAGCCGGCUGCUCGUUCGAUGAAUAGACGGGAACCUCUAAGCUUGUGCGUGAAUGUAUUGCUUCCGCUUUUUUUUUUUUAUCGAAAAAUCAACAAAGAAAUCAGCUGCAUCUGGUGCCACAACAGCUUUUAUGAGGAUGCGUGCUUCCGCGGAGCUAGAGGUUCGGCAUUGACGAAUAUCAGCUGUAUGUACAUCUUGUUUGUUUGUUCUGUGCUUUCUUCAUAACAAACGAGUCUGUAUUAACAUGUAGUCUGCAUGAACAGCUACGUUUUGGACGGACAGAGGAAAUGCGCACAUGAUUGGUAUCA